rnacentral:lncRNA from 1 species
CCAAUGGACAGGCAGGAUGUAGCCAGGCAGGAAGUAUAGGCGGAGCUACCAGACUAGGAGAAUUCUGGAGAGAGGAAGGCAGACAGUGAGUCUUGAGGAGAUGGCAUACAGCUGCGGAAGAAGCAGCAGUUCCGGGCAUCAUGGGUACGCCAAGACCAUGUGGAAAUACAUAGAUUAAUAGUUAUGGGUUAAUAACUAAGAGAGAGCUAGCCAAUAAGAAACCUAAGCCAUCAGCCAAACAGUUUAUAAUUAAUAUAAGCCUCAGUGUGUUUAUUUGGAACUAAACAGUUGCGGGAUUGGGCAGGACAGAAACCUCCGUCUACAAUUACUGACACUAGACUGCUAUAUGAGGUUGGCACAAAACAGAAUGCCUUUUCACCUGAUCUCUGUAGGAAAAGCAUGAAGAAGAAAGCUGAGACCAGAAGAAUGGAUUAGAAUUCAUGAGCCAUUUGUUCAGCUUUGAAUUGAUGGAGCCCUGGCUGGCUGGAGAGGCCAGAGCGAAAACUGGCCGAGGCCCUGCAGAAAUGGACCCAGGCUCUCAUCCUCCCUCUGGCAGAAGGGAAAUGUGAUGUGCAUGUUCACUCUGGAAACCUCCAAAUGUCAGCCCUGAGAAGGUCCCUGAUUCCUCACAGCAGUUCUGUGCGGCAAAACCCUUUGCAGGGAAAAGAAAUUGCCUAAGGUCUCACGUGAGUGAGAAUGAGGACCCGCAGGCAGGGUUCUCUGGCUUCAAAGUCUAGACUUUGCAU